AGAUUCAUGCAAACACCCGAAAAU
rnacentral:siRNA from 1 species